rnacentral:rRNA from 1 species
UGAGUAACCUGCCCUUAACUCUGGGAUAAGCCUGGGAAACUGGGUCUAAUACCGGAUAUGACUCCUCAUCGCAUGGUGGGGGGUGGAAAGCUUUUUUGUGGUUUUGGAUGGACUCGCGGCCUAUCAGCUUGUUGGUAAGGUAAUGGCUCACCAAGGCGACGACGGGUAGCCGGCCUGAGAGGGUGACCGGCCACACUGGGACUGAGACACGGCCCAGACUCCUACGGGAGGCAG